CGGCUGUAGCUAUAUCCAUACAUACAGAUUGAGAAGUUUUACUGGCCGCUUGUCGUUUAUUCCCGUCGACAAAUCUGCUUACCGAGCUUCUCACAUUU